ACUUACAGGACAAUGAGAUAGCAGAGCUACCAGCUGGACUCUUCAGUAACAACAGGAAGUUGACUGAACUGCACUUAAAUGAAAACAAAAUCAAGAAGCUGCCAGCUGGAGUUUUCAGUAGCUACUCCGAGUUGACUAGACUAUUUUUAUACAAAAACAACAUCAAGAGGCUGCAUGGUGACUCAUUUGCUACAUUGGUCAGACUACAGAGGCUGCACUUACAGGACAAUGAGAUAGCAGAGUUACCAGCUGGAGUCUUCAAUAACAACAGGAGGUUGACUGAACUGUAAGUAAA